rnacentral:misc_RNA from 1 species
UAUUAAUAUGCAGUUUUUUUUUUUUUUUUGAACUGAAAAAACUGCAUAUUAAUAUUUUAAGAAAUCAGUGAAAGGCAGGUAUCAAUUACAAUUACAUAACAGUACAACUAAUUUGUUGAUAAUAAUUGUAUAUUACAAUUUCAUUCGUUCCCAAAUUCUUCAACUGUUUUAGUUGCAAGCGUAAGGAUGUCCGUGAAAGCAGAAAAUGAUGCUCGAAGAAAUCUCGCCUCCACUGCCUCAAAGUGCACUGAUAACUUCCCACCAGAGAUUGACAUGUGUCUUUUUACUUUGUCUGGCUGCAACUCCUUAUCGACUGCUAGGGCUGCAUGGACAAUGGCAGCAUUCUCCUCGGACUCAAAAUCUACUUCCAAGUCACAGCUGAAAUCCCAUUGGGCUUGUUUGUUGGGCAAGUUGGAAGCUACAGCUGCAGCCAUCACUUCUUGGGUCGGUGAAAAACAACGACGAUUGCUUCAAAAUGGUGAACCACAACCACGGGCCACGGCGACGGCGGUGGUGGCUUCAAAGUAGGCUUAAGCUGUUCACGGUUUGUAGCGAGCGCCUUUGUGGUAUCCCGAUACUUC